rnacentral:lncRNA from 1 species
UUUCCCUCUGUCUUUUACAGUAUGCUAUGCUUUUUGUUGUUGUUUGUGUUCAUUCGUCAAGGCAAUCAACCAAAGCCUUCUCUGAUGUAAGUUAUACAGCUAUGUUGUCCAUGUAAAUGUUAACUCAAGGUAUGAGUUCUGUGGUAGAUAACGUAAAUGCUCCAGUCUGGGAUGCUAUACACACAUCCAUCCGGCAUACCAAACUGACCCAGACCGUGAUUUCAGGUGCUUGGUGUAGAUAUGAAAGAAAGACAGGAAAUGAAUGCUGAUUAGCUUGGCUUUUUCCUCAGUGUUUUCACUGAGAAGGUGACAAUGUUUAGACUUGAGGUCACAUAAGAACAAGUCCUUGGCUCCAACAUUCAAAUCUUUUGUGUUUAGUAAAAAAUUAUUCCCAAAGGUUAUAUCUACUGUAAGGUUAUUCCCUGAUCACCUAAGAGAUUUCAGACGACCUCAUGUAUUUGCCAUGUAAAAUACUGCCAGGAUUGUGUGUGCUUUUUCUGGGGCAUGUUUGUCAUUGAUGUACAGUAGUCAAUCAAAAUGUUAAGUGCCUAAUACUUGCUAUUUAAUCGUAAUUAUUUAUUCCACAUCCUAUUGCCAUGUCUGUUUCCCAAAUGGCACACUAUUCCCUACGUAGUGCAACAGUUUUGACCAGCUCUGUUCAAAAGUAGUGCACAAAAUAGGAAUAGGGUGUAAUUUAGGGUGCAUCCUAUGUGUAUAUUAAAUGCCAUAGCUUUCAUGAACAUUAGUGAUGUAUCCUUGUAUUGAUUAGCCUGACUGUCUGUCUGUGUGUUCAUGUCAACUCCUUGUCACUCAUUGUCAGGCUAAGUGCCAUACGCAUUGUCAUUGGUUUAACAUAGACAGCCAUGGAGUUGGCAAGAGCACAACCAGAUUUGGGACUAGGCUACAAGGCUGUAUGUCCUUAAGAGAACAAAAUGUUUGCCUUUAUGGUUAAAUAUAUCUUUACAUUAGCUGUAUUCUCACCGCUAUACCCUCCCACCACGGGGGGACAUUUUAUAAGGUUGCAUAACAAACAUUUUUAUAUAUUAGCAACAUGCUAUUGAAUGAUGCUUUGUUUAAUGUCUGGGUACAUGUAUGUCAUGAGAUCAUGAUGAGUAAACAAUACAGCACC